CCUAGCCGAAAGGACAGACUAAUACCGCAUAGUCUUCGAUGACGGCAUCAGAUUUGAAGUAAAGAUUUAUCGGUAAUGGAUGGGGAUGCGUCUGAUUAGCUUGUUGGCGGGGUAACGGCCCACCAAGGCGACGAUCAGUAGGGGGUUCUGAGAGGAAGGUCCCCCCACAUUGGAACUGAGACACGGUCCAAACUCCUACGGGAGGCAGCAGCG
rnacentral:rRNA from 1 species